rnacentral:rRNA from 1 species
UACAGAGGGUGCAAGCGUUACUCGGAAUUACUGGGCGUAAAGCGCGCGUAGGCGGCUGUCUAAGUCGGGUGUGAAAGCCCCGGGCUCAACCUGGGAACUGCAUUCGAUACUGGACGGCUAGAGUAUGAGAGAGGGAGGUAGAAUUCCACGUGUAGCGGUGAAAUGCGUAGAUAUGUGGAGGAAUACCGGUGGCGAAGGCGGCCUCCUGGUUCAAUACUGACGCUGAGGUGCGAAAGCGUGGGGAGCAAACAGG